ACAUUUUCCGGAAAAUGUUUUCCUGGUUUUACCGUGUUUGGAUGCUUGAAAACAUUUCCAAAGGGAAAAUAUUUUACUGGACACGGGUAAAAUCCCCUUCAAUUUGGGGAAAACGUCUUACCGAUUUCAAUUGUGUAAGACAUUUUCCAUCUCCUCUUCAUCCAGGCAAAAUCUACACACACUGCUGUUUCGUUUUCUGUCUUCCCCUCUUUCUCAGGAUCUCAUUCUUCCUUGCAAGAAUGGGUAAGGGCAACAAAGAAGGGACCUCCAAGCAAUUCAGGUGGACAAAAUCGAUGGAACAUCUUUUUCUUGAAAUUUUAGCAGAGGAGGUCUAGAAAGGAAAUAAGCCUUCUAAUACUUUCAAAGCAGUUUCUAUUAAUCGAGUUGUCGAAGCUAUUUCUGAAAAAUUUCAAGUCCAAUGCGAUGCAAAACAUGUGGAAAAUCAUUUGAGGACUGUAAAAAAAUAGUGGCAGAUUAUAUGCACAAUUCGGGGUGAAAGUGGUUUUGGAUGGGAUGAUAACAUGAAAAUGAUCACAUGUGAUAGAGC